rnacentral:misc_RNA from 1 species
GGAAUUCCUUCGACAACAACCCUCCCACCACUAGCGUAGCCCCGGCUGUCGGCUAGUCUGACAAAAUGUCCUUCUGUAUGUGUUGUAAUAUUUCAUUUGGACAGCCAAAAGACAGUGCUUGUUUACGUUUUGAAGUCCAGGAUUAUGUUACAAGUUACAUUGUUUUCAGUUGCUCCCAGCAGUGAACAGGAAAAGUUAACCAUAGGUCUAAGAAAACAAAAGAAUGAUAAAAAUAAUGAAAAGUGCCUUUAAAAAUAAUGAAAAAAAUUGGUUAAGGCUUAUAUACUAAUUGAAAACUACUUAUGUGAAGAAAAAAAAACAAGAGCUUCUUAGAAUUUAUCCUAAUUUCAGUAAAGUGAAAUGGCAUAUCAUACUCUUACUCUCAACAUUGUAAACCUAAUUUUUAAAAAUACCAGUCCUUGUAUGUUCUGUUCAUUAGAUGCAGAAAAAAAGAGCAUAUAUAAAAAUUAUGAAACGGUUUUGUUGCCAAUUAAUAUACUGUGGAAUCAUUUAAAUUUGUGGGGGCCAAUUUUCGUGGAUUAUGACUUUUUUGCUCAUUCAUGGGGAUGUAAUUUCGUGGAUGCGUAGCCUACUGUUUCAGUAACAAAGAUAACUCUUUCUAAAAUUGUUUUCGUUGAGGAUUUAAAUUCGUGGGAGAGGGCUACCACGAAAAUUUAACACCACGAAUUUUAAUGAUUCCACAGUAUUGUGAAAUGAAUUAAGACCUUUAUUAAAAGAAAAAAUCAAACUUUUGAAUAGUAGAAAGAUAGUGCAAUAUGUUCAGUAUCUUCUAGCUAUAUAGAAAACUCACAUUGUGUAUUAAAUUCAUUAUGAACUAUGAUACUGUACAGAGAGUUGUGAAAGAAUUUGUAUCAUAAAUUCCUUUUUUCAUUGAGAGUUCAAUUAAACUUUCCAAACAAC